UAGAAAGGUUCGUGGUCAAAAUAGAGGAUUAGAGUUAGAAAGACUUAUUCGCAAAACUGGAAAGUUGAAACUACUAAUUCCAGAAGGAGAGAAUAGGCCAGUUGGUGAUGACAGUUGCAAAUUAUCUAGAGAAAUUGGGAUAGUUGUAAGACAAUUCGCACCAAUCAAGAUAUCAGGUUGGCACGAAAUAGCAGAUGUCGACAAAUUAGCACUUUAUGAGCGUAUUGUGGUAAACACCUUGUAAAUAUCUAUUAUAUUGUUUUAUCUUAUUUGAUCUUAUUUUGGAGAUUUAUAACUACUAAUUGAAGUUUUAUGCAGGCAAAAUUUGAUUUGGAGUGGGAUAAAAAAAAUGUUAGGGAAUGUGUGGAAGAAAUGAUGAGUUUUUGAUAUAAAGACUUCCGCUAUCGAUGCCAUUUAUAUUAUGAGAAAUUAGGAGGAGGUGAAGCUGCUAGACAAUGUCCUCAUAAGGAUUUUGUUAAUAGAUCCGAUGAUUGGCUUUGGUUAUGUGAUCAUUUUGAUUCAGAAGCCUUCCAGAGGCGUUCAACGGCCAACUCCAGUAAUCGAGGAAAAUUACCAUAUAUUCAUCGAGCGGGUACUAGGACAUUUGUGGCUACUCGACAUAAAUUGCAAUGUGGUGAGAUUGCCUAAUUCAAGGGAUGUUAUCAUAAUGGAAAAGGAUGGGCCAAUGAUGGGGCUAAGAAAAGAUAUG